rnacentral:precursor_RNA from 1 species
CUGUCCUCCAUAUUAUUUAUUUAUAAAUUUAUAUUACAAAACAUUAAUAGCGACGGGGGGAGAAAAGGUCAGUCCGGAGUAUUUUGUUUCGUGUAUAUGGAUUAGGAUUUAAUUUAGGAGUUAUGAUUGCUUUACAAAUUUUAGUUGGUAUUUGUUUAUCUUGAUUUUUUUUUAGAUGUAUUAUACCUCAAAAUUGAAUUUUUACACUUUUAAUACAUUUAGAAUUUGACCUUGGUUUUAUUAUACGUAGUUUACAUAUUAUAUUUACAUCUUUAUUAUAUUUUCUUUUAUAUAUUCAUAUUAUAAAAGUUAUUUUUUUAUGUUUAAUUUUUGAUUCUAGUAUGUUAGUUUGAUUUUUUGGAUUCCUAAUAUUUAUUUUUAUUCUUAUAAUAGCCUUUAUUGGUUAUACUCUACCCUGUACUUCUAUGUCUUAUUGAGGGCUUACUGUAUUUAGCAAUAUUCUAGCUACUAUACCUUUAAUAGGAAUUUAUAUAUGUCAAUGAAUUUGAUGCUCAGAAUUCAUUAAUGAUUUUACUUUAUUAAAAUUACAUUCUAUUCAUAUAUUUUUACCUUUUGUACUAUUAUUUUUAAUAGGUGCUCAUUUUUUUGUUCUUCAUUAUUUUUUAUCUUCUGAUGGAUUACUCGAUAGAUUCCCAUUUUAUUAUGAAAGAUUUUUUUUUUUUUUAUUAUAUUAUUUACGAGACUUAUUUUUAAUUAUUAAUAUUCUGUGUUUUUUAAUUUAUUACAUAUGCAUUUAUUGAUUUUUUGUAUUUCACGAAGAAUCUUGAAUCAUAGUAGACACUUUAAAAACUUCUGAUAAAAUACUACCCUUUGUAUUUUAGAGCAGGAAAACGCCAUUUGAAUUAGAGUUUGGAGGGUUUAUUUUUAGGCAAAGAUAUGUAUAAAAAGCGAGCAAAUGUUUAUAUUGAGACAAGAUUUUAAUAGGGGGGGGCAGUUAGUGGGGUCCAAUGGAUUGUGAAACAGUUGGGGGGGAUUUUGGUUUGUUCUUUUCGUUUAGAUUAAUAUCUUUUAU